AGUGGACUUGGCGGCAGAGGCAGUGCGGAUCCGGCAUUGUCCACUGAGCUUUUCCAGGGCUGUACAGACAUGGCGGCGGCUUUUCGGAAGGCGGCUAAGUCCCAGCAGCGGGAACACAGAGAGCGAAGCCAGCCUGGCUUUCGAAAACAUCUGGGCCUGCUGGAGAAAAAGAAAGAUUACAAACUUCGUGCAGAGUGAGUUCAGUCUUUCUGGUAGAGGCACUGCCAAGAAAGCUUACAACCUCCUUGCACUGCAGCUGAAUUGCCUGAGUGUCCAACAGGGGAUAAUUUCCUGCCAUUGAUAAAAUGGCCAAAGCUCUGGCAGCCUGUCAGAUAAUUUUUUCUGUGACCCUAAAUUUCUCUCUUUGUUUAGGCAGAUCAUUAUUUAUUUAACUGUAGUUGCAUUGUGAAUUAUUUGUAUUAUGUUGUUCCAGAUCAUUUUCUCGUAGUAGCUUUGAUUUGGCUCUGCCUUGGUGUUUGAGCCCAAAGCUGAAUCUUUUUCUCUUUGUUUUCUUGAAGUGCAGGAUAUAAUCUGAAAUUCCAUUUGUUGAGUCUCUUACGUCACCAUGUGUGUGAUGUGGAAUGAAGAGAUGUGAAAGAUGGAUUCAUGAGACCAAGCGUGGGUGAUAAUGAACUCUGAAAACAUUUUAUAAAACAAUUAUCCCCAUUCUUCUUCUCUGUUAGCACUUUGUUUGCAAAAUACUUCUUAAUUAUUUGUUAGCCAUACAUGUCAGCUGAGGUCCUUUUUAUG
rnacentral:sRNA from 1 species